rnacentral:rRNA from 1 species
UACGUAGGGGGCAAGCGUUGUCCGGAAUUAUUGGGCGUAAAGAGCGCGUAGGCGGUCCGAUAAGUCGGCUGUGAAAGUCCAGGGCUCAACCCUGGAAAGCCGGCCGAUACUGUCGGACUAGAGUCCGGAAGAGGCAAGUGGAAUUCCCGGUGUAGCGGUGAAAUGCGCAGAUAUCAGGAGGAACACCGGUGGCGAAGGCGGGUCUCUGGGCAGUAACUGACGCUGAGGAGCGAAAGCGUGGGGGAGCGAACAGG